rnacentral:rRNA from 1 species
AUGACGUCGUCCGGUCCGGCCGUGCCCAUCCGCGCCGGCGGCCGGAGCUUCCCAUGGGCCUUCGUCUUCGGGAUGUUCGGGCUCCUCACCUUCAACUCCGUCAUGGCCGUCUUCCACUGGAAGGGGGACGCCGCCAUCGUCGCCUUCGUCGCCACCUCCUACGCCGACCUCGUCCUCCUCUUCGGCUGCAUAUGGCUCUACAAGAGAGCGGCCCCCGGCUCGCCGCUCCGGGAUCGGCUCAAGGCGUACGUGUGGAUCCUCACCACGCUGCUCACCUUCUCCUUCGGCUACAUGGUGAUGGGGGCGGCUGGACUCACUCUCCCCGUCGCUCUGCUCGUCUGGGCCAUCGCCGCCGCCACCGGUGUCGGGGCAUUCUUCGCCUUCUUCGAGCAGGACAGGGGCAACGAAGCGCCCAACGGCACCAAGCUGCCUCCACCGGUGUAG